GGCUCCACCCUUGUGAAGUAAAAUCUGCCAGGUGUGGGUCAUUUGACCUUUGCUAUAUAGGAAGCUUGAGGAGCUGUGGGGAAUUGCCUUUGGGGGUGGAAGAGAAUUGAGGCUAGGGUUGUCUAGGGUGCUUUUCUGCUGUUGUGGUGAAGUGGGCUUAGUGUUCCCCUGUGGGCUAUUUUUUCUUCAUGCUUUCUGCCAUCUAUGUGAAAUACUUUUAGCGACUCUAUGAGCUAGCUAGGUUGGCAGUGCCUUCUCAGUACAGUAGAACCCUGGUAGUGAGACUUCACUGUGAAGCAGCGUGGAAGUGACUCAGGUUCAGAAGCUGGCAGAUAAGUGUUCCUGGGUUUACAGUUCUGUAAUGUUGAGGAGUUGGAGUACUUCCUUCAGCUUGUCUGUUUUCAGUGAAACUACUCUUGUGGAUUCUGAGCUCCCUUUCCAGCCCUUAAAAACAUAAUAAUAAUAGUAAAUAGAAAUAAAACCCCACCAACUCAGAAGCUCCAGUGCUUACAGGCCUGAGUGUCUUGGCGGCGGAGAAAGUUUUGGAAGAGGUCCACCAAAUGAGAAUCGAUCUUCCUCUGUAGAAACCAGUGUCUGAGGUAUCGAGGAAAGCGUCCUUCUGUGAAAGGAAGAUGAGAGAGUGGGAACGCUGCCUGUGCCACCCUGUGGUUUUGCCAACAUGAUAGUGCAGAGGACAGGAGAGAAAAGGAUGGAAAACUGAGGUGGACACUUAAAGGCAUUGUUACACGAGUUGUGAAUAAAAACAAAGUGUCAGGAAAAGGGGUUGUGUGAGAAAGGUGCUGCUCCAAAUUAUACAGGGCGGUCCUUAGGGUGGGCUGGUCCCCAGAUUGAAGACCUCCUCAAGUUCUGUUGGAGCACCGUCACACACCGGGGGAGCGGGAUGAUCAGAGUCUGAUGGAAUGCAGUCCUCAAAUGCUGGAUGGAUGCUGUUCUCAACAUUGGGGACACCACACACCUCAUGAACUGAAGUAGGAGGCUCUGCAUCUUUCCUGCCUUUCAGCUCUGGCAACUUGAGUCUUUCUUCAGAUGGAGGAAAAAGUCAGUUGAACAGAAACCUCCUCAAUUCCAACAACUAGACAAGACAGUGAAGAUAACACAAGAAAGAGACAGGGCUGCAAGUGGCAAAGGCUGGCACUGGUGGUAGAAGCAGUCAAAGAAUACGUGUGAACAGGACUGCCUUCAAUUAAAGGCUGUCUUACUGAUUUUUUUUACAUGAGUUGUAACCAAGUGGCCAGCUGCCAGCAGAGACACCAUGACACUCCAAGCUGAAGCUCACAGUGCACACUCCCUUGCAGCUUCACCGGGGCACCCACAAGCACAGACUGACCCCACCACAGGAGACUCUGCUACCUGGACAGGUACCUACCUACUCUACUACCUACUCUGCUGCCUUGGGACACCACAGUCCUGCUGCCUUCCUGGGGUGCCUACUCCCCUCGCCCUGCAAACAAACCCUGGCUCAGUUUGUACCUCUGCUUUCUGAUGGCAUGGGCCUCAGCUCUGGACUUUCUUACACCCAGCAAUGGCAGAUGGAGAACACCCAGAAUAUCCCAGUCAUGCCUGAGGCAGCAACAUGCAAAUAGAUCUUUCCCUCCAUACUGAGCUGGUGGGAACAGGACUGCUGGCCAACAGCAAAUUGGAAGUAUCGCUGCAGUUAAGACAGGAGAGAAACCUGCCCUACAUGAUCUGAACAAGCCACUCUGCCCAAAAAGUGUCAUGCCUAACAAAUGUGCAGAGCAACUGCAAGAACAGGCGAAAGCACCAGCAGUUCCCAUGCAGUGAGGAGCUACCAAGAUCCACAAGUUCGUACAGCGUUAAAGAGAACACAGCCUGCUACGCUGGGCAGAAGAAGGAUCUGGGCAAGAAGGAUCCGAGAUUGCAGAAACAACUCAUUAUCUAGAUGGUUUUAGUGCAGCACACAUGUAAUUAUCCUAGUAUUAAUGCUGUCGGCAACUCAAAGUGUUGUCUUUGGAUCUUUCAGAUGCUUUUCUGUUAGAAAAAGUUCCCCUUGAUUACAGUACUCCACUUGCAUAAGACAAUCACGCCUCACUAACCCAGACUCAGACAAGCCACAUCACACUUGUAGAUCCCUGUCUGUGACCCAUAGGAAGGCACGUAAUGAAACAUACUCACCAUUUUCAGACCAUGUUGCUCAGGAUAGUCUCUGUCAUCUGUUGGUCUCAAGCUUGAAUGCUGUAAGACUGGUGGAGCGCAUUGUUGAAUUUUUUUCUGCAUACUUCCAAUUUCAGGAGCCAGUCAAGCUGAGAUGACAGCUUGAGAUGCCAACUGCGGCUUAGGAUAGGCUGUGCACCACAGAACUUGGUCCCCAUAAGACGUGUUGCUUCAGAAUGGCAUCCUAAAAUGAGAUCCUUAGGAAAGGUUUAGUAUUAUACAUUUGUGAAAAUUGUAUUACAAAAACUGAAAGAUUUAACUCACCCUUUCACACUUCAUGUGUAGAUUUGAUUCCUAUGUUACCUGGCAACUAAGUCACCACUAAUAGUAGUUUUAUGUGAUUAGAUAUCCAUUUGAAUCACUUCUGCUGAAGACAUCUGAUGGACAGAUUAUCUAUCAGAUAUCAAUGGAAACUGUACAUGGAAAAAGAUGUUGUGUUGCCUGCUGUUUACGGCCCACAGCAACAUAACUGCAAUCAUAUUUCUGAGUCACUGAUACGCACUUCUCUGCCCUGCUUCACACUCCUCUAAAAGACACAAGAAAGAAAGCAGUAGCAGUGGCCUACAGGACAGCACAUUACAUUUCUGGAGUUCAGAACUGUAUCAGCAUGAUGUUGUUUGACCCCUUUUUCUGUUCAUUUAGCAAAAACUCUCAUAAAAGGAAACUGGUUUUCCAGAAGAGGUUCUUACAUUUCAAGCUGAUUUAGGCUUUCUUGCUUGUGUCUAAAAAUCUCUUUCCAAUCUUUCUUCAUUUACUAUUUAAUGAUCCCAAGUUCUUGUAGACCCUGAUACAGGCAAGCAGAGAAGACAGUUCCUAUCAAGAAAGACUAUCUCAAAUGGUUUUUUUGUUUUUUUGUUUUUUUGUUUUUUUUUUCUGUAUGUCCAUGAUUACUUUUUCUAUCUAUCUUGGACAAACUUACAAAAAGCUUUCACAUACACCUGAAUUAACAUUUAUUGUGAUCACAGAUGUGGACCAGAGGAAAUCUUUACCAGACCAACUGAAAGAAAGACUUGGCUUUUCCAACAGAACUGAGCUAAACGAUGCAGAAUAGAUUAGUAUCGAUGUAGACUUUCUAAUGUUUUCUGUAAGUCUGGCAUUGUCUAUACCCAUCCUGACAGUCUAUUAGGUUUUGUGUGUUCAUGGGUGAAGCAUUUAUGUUAAAUAAAUUUGCUGUUUCUCUACCUGAAUCAUAGUUAACAAGUAUACAUAUAAAAAAAAUCAUAGUUGUAUUCUUAUAUGAGAACAAUGGACUGAUUACUUGUACUGCUGUGAUUUGAGAGAAUAAAGUACACACAGCUUCCACAUAUAGAGAAAACUUAGUAAUUAUUCCUUGUGAAUGGAUGCAGUCUUAUAUAUAAAAAGCAAAUUGAAUGAUCUAGAUAUAAACUGAAGACACUUUUCUGUGGUAGCUAAGUGUUGUUAACUGGUGUGUACAAAUAAAAGGAUAAUUUUGUGUUUA